UCCGUUUUUCCCUUUCUCUUCCUCCUCGGCCGCACGGCCUCUCUUCUCUUCUCCCUCUCUUCUCUUCUCCCUCUCUUCCUUCCUCAUCUCUCUGCUCUCUCCGAAAUCACCACUUCCCGGCCACUACCACACUACACCGCCACCACCAUUUGAAUCAUAAAACAAACCCGACCAAGACCCAGUCGUUUCGCCGUCGAUCAAGACGUUCCGGUCACCGCACUCGACCUCCAAACCUGCGACGCCACUGUUCCACGACCCUCACCGAUUUCCAGUCAUCCCUUUACCACACCACCAUCACCACUGCACUCAGCGAGCAAUGGAGAAGAAGACCCAGAGGUUCCGUCACCCACCGAUGCCGGACGAGGCCGUACAAGUAGUCGCCGGAAUCUGGGAUUCUGCAAGUAUUGAUUCGUCGUUUCCGGCCACUCGAGCUGCACAACCACCAUAGUUGGAAUCAGGGCCUCCUCAUUCUUCAAAACCCUUUGGUCCCGACCUUUGCUUUGGCCAGAACCGCUGCACGCGCUGCCGCUGCCGUGUGGACCACCGUGGCUCCGCCACCGGAUUUCCAGGCCACCUUUAUUAGUUUUUGAUUAUGUGUUUUGAAGUUUCUGGAGAAAGGAAUAGGCAUUGGUUCAGUUUGACGUAUAAUGAAGGAAGGAGUUCGAAUGGUUGUUGGUGGUGGAGGACUACACUUAUUUAGAAUUGGCCCUCUAUUUGGAGAUGAAGAAUUGGUAAGGAAUUGGGUUCGGUGACCUUAUAAUUGCUAUAAUUGGUUUGGUCAAAUUAUUGAAUUGAUGGAGUUAGUGGUUUGCAAUUAGAAUGGUUUCAAAUGUAUUUUCGAGUUGAGUUGUGAAUGUGUUUCUGUUGGGAUAUUGAGAUUAAUUAAAUCUGUAAUUUUGUGGUGGAGAUGAAUAUAUGGAAUUGAUGUAUGAAAGCAUUAGAUUGAUUGAAUUUGGGAUGUCUAUGAAUUUUAUUAAUACGGAAUUGAAAUGCUUCUGCAAUUUGUUUCGGGUUUACGGUAGUUGAACUAAAAUUUGCAGUCUUUCUUUAUGUAAAUAUAUUUGCAAAGGGAACUGACAGAAAAGAAGAUGGGUAUUCCUAAUCCAGAAGCGAUCAAGCAGUUUCAAUUGACAAUGGAGGAAGUUGAUGAGCUGCUGAAGAACACAUUUGAGUUGCUGCUACUAUAGAAGGAAGAGAAGAGCAAGUAUAUGUGCCAGAUGAAAUGACUGCAUUCUCAAGCAAGCUAGAGUACAUCGCUGCAAGAUGCCAUCUUGGUGAUCACGAAGUUUUCUGAGAUUUCAUUUUUUGAGGCUACCUCUGUCUAACUCUUGGUUUCUGUCAUCAAUUCCAAGAAAAUUAUGUUACGGCACAUGCUGAAUUUCUCUUGUUUGAUUGCCCUUUGUAUGUGGAUGAAUAUACCUUUGUAUAAAAGGAGGAAAAAAAGAAGAUGAAUAUCAGUUUUUUGUUCCUCUGUAGAAAAUAGAAGAUGAAUAUACCUUUAUUACCAUCACAGUCGGACUUAGACACCAUUAUAUGCUCU